GCUUCACAGCUGAUAAUCCUGCAGAUAUUGAGGUCUCCUCCUCUGUCGCUGAGAGCGUCGAGCGGGAAUAGACUGCUCUGCUGUGUGCUCUGCUGUAUGCUGACCACAAUCACUGUCUUGAUUGGAUAUUGGGAAGGGAAAAAGAAGAGACUGGGAGAA